rnacentral:rRNA from 1 species
UCCGUUGUAGCAAUACGAUGGAAAGUCUAGUGGCGAACGGGUGCUUAACACGUGGGCAACCUGCCAGGAAGUGGGGGAUAGCUCGCCGAAAGGCGAAUUAAUACCGCAUGUGAUUAGAGAGGACAUCCUUUCGAAAUUAAAGUCGGGGCAACCUGACGCUUCUUGUGGGGCCCGCGGCCUAUCAGCUAGUUGGUGAGGUAACGGCUCACCAAGGCUUUGACGGGUAGCUGGUCUGAGAGGACGACCAGCCACACUGGGACUGAGACACGGCCCAGACACCUACGGGUGGCAGCAGUCGAGAAUUUUUGACAAUGGGGGAAACCCUGAUCGAGCGACGCCGCGUGGAGGAUGAAGGUCUUCGGAUUGUAAACUCCUGUCAUUGGGGAACAAGGUGUAUACGUUAACUGCGUGUGCAUUGAUAGUACCCGAAGAGGAAGAGACGGCUAACUCUGUGCCAGCAGCCGCGGUAAUACAGAGGUCUCAAGCGUUGUUCGGAUUCAUUGGGCGUAAAGGGUGCGUAGGCGGCGCGGUAAGUCGGGUGUGAAAUCUCGGAGCUUAACUCCGAAACUGCAUUCGAUACUGCCGUGCUUGAGGACUGGAGAGGAGACUGGAAUUCACGGUGUAGCA